GAAUUCGCCCUUAGAGUUUGAUCCUGGCUCAGGACGAUCUCUGGCGGCGUGCCUAACACAUGCUAGUCGAACGGAGUUGAAAGGAGCUUGCUUUUUUCAACUCAGUGGCGGACGGGUGAGUAACGCGUGAGUAACCUGCCUUUCAGAGGGGGAUAACGUUCUGAAAAGAACGCUAAUACCGCAUAAGAUUGUAGCUUCGCAUGGAGUAGCAAUCAAAGGAGCAAUCCGCUGAAAGAUGGACUCGCGUCCGAUUAGAUAGUUGGCGGGGUAACGGCCCACCAAGUCGACGAUCGGUAGCCGGACUGAGAGGUUGAUCGGCCACAUUGGGACUGAGACACGGCCCAGACUCCUACGGGAGGCAGCAGUGAGGGAUAUUGGGCAAUGGGGGAAACCCUGACCCAGCAACGCCGCGUGAGGGAUGACGGUUUUCGGAUUGUAAACCUCUGUCCUCUGUGAAGAUAGUGACGGUAGCAGAGGAGGAAGCUCCGGCUAACUACGUGCCAGCAGCCGCGGUAAUACGUAGGGAGCAAGCGUUGUCCGGAUUUACUGGGUGUAAAGGGUGCGUAGGCGGAUUGGCAAGUCAGAAGUGAAAUCCAUGGGCUUAACCCAUGAACUGCUUUUGAAACUGUUAGUCUUGAGUGAAGUAGAGGUAGGCGGAAUUCCCGGUGUAGCGGUGAAAUGCGUAGAGAUCGGGAGGAACACCAGUGGCGAAGGCGGCCUACUGGGCUUUAACUGACGCUGAGGCACGAAAGUGUGGGUAGCAAACAGGAUUAGAUACCCUGGUAGUCCACACUGUAAACGAUGAUUACUA
rnacentral:rRNA from 1 species